rnacentral:misc_RNA from 1 species
CAUCACCUUUGUUAUUCUGCCCACCAAGCUAGCAUCAUGAUAGGCGCGCCCCACGUGAAAGUUUUUGUCGUACUUCUAGCACUAGCGACAAGAGCAACCUGUGAAACUGAAGGCAUCUUCGAGAAAAAAAUACUUCAAGAGCGUAAAAAUAACUGAAAACGUGGCUGUAUAAGCCGAAAUGCCAAAUGCUAAUCGAGACACGUCAAACACCGAAAGCUCAGCCGAAUUAGUGGACUUUCUCUAAACGAGACAACGAGAGGUUAUAGGUGGUUUGCCAUCUGUAACAGCCGUUUACGCAUUACCAACUGAUGUUGCUGGCGAUGAGCUCGAAUGUCUUCAUGCGAACUUGACUGAAUACAACACCGACUCUGGUAAAGCUAUAUAUCGAUGGACUUGGAGAGAUGGCAUGGGAAAUAACAAAACUGCUGACAACUACAUAACCAGGAAACACUCGUCCUAUAUAGUGACCGUUAAAACUUCGAAUGAUCAUGGACAUCCGUUCUUAGCCACUCUACCUUUCUUUGUUGACAAUACCUGCUUUGUACUUGCAAGUGGCAACUUCGGAGGCCAAUGCAUCUUGUGGGUGAGUGACGCCUUCCGGCAGAACGUCCCAGAAAAAUGCAUUGAAGGAUAUAAGAGAACGUGCCCUACUGGCACCCUGCUUAACAACGAUGCCUGUGGCAACACGCCUUAGAAGAAAUAUCUUUGUGUUAUUAGGUGUGAUAUGUUGGUAUUGACUGCGUGUUAAUUAAAUUACAGUUUAUGCUA